UCCCUGAUAAAUGAAACAAAAUACUAUUGAGUGACAUUUAAGUUUUUAGAUUUUUGGGGGGAAAAUUCUAAGUUUUCUCUUGAGCAAAAGAAUAUACUAAAUAAGAACACUCAAUAUUUGGGAGGCAACUAUGAACAAAUGGAUGCCAACAAACUGGACAGGCUGGAAAAAAAUGGCUCUCUGCUAGUGACUUCUUGCUCAUCACGAUGUGCGCGCUCAAUUCUGUCCGUGGAGAACAACUUAGAGUAAAACAGCGUUCGCACUCGGGCUUCUCAGAAGUCAGAGGACACACUGGCUGCCACUGUUCUGUUCUCACCUUGGGUGGAAGUAGCUGUCCAGACCCCACCUGGAGAAGGGGUACCGUCCACCUGG